rnacentral:rRNA from 1 species
GAUGAACGCUAGCUACAGGCUUAACACAUGCAAGUCGAGGGGCAGCAUGGGAGUUGCUUGCAACUCUUGAUGGCGACCGGCGCACGGGUGAGUAACGCGUAUCCAACCUUCCCCCUGGUAGGGCAUAGCCCGUAGAAAUGCGGAUUAACACCCUAUGUUGUGCAUUGAGGACAUCUGAGGAGCACUAAAGUUUGACGCCAUGGGAUGGGGAUGCGUCCGAUUAGCUUGUUGGCGGGGUAACGGCCCACCAAGCCUGCGAUCAGUAGGGGUUCUGAGAGGAAGGUCCCCCACAUUGGUACUGAGACACGGACCAAACUCC